rnacentral:rRNA from 1 species
UAGGGAAUCUUCCACAAUGGACGCAAGUCUGAUGGAGCAACGCCGCGUGAGUGAAGAAGGUUUUCGGAUCGUAAAGCUCUGUUGUUGGUGAAGAAGGAUAGAGGUAGUAACUGGCCUUUAUUUGACGGUAAUCAACCAGAAAGUCACGGCUAACUACGUGCCAGCAGCCGCGGUAAUACGUAGGUGGCAAGCGUUGUCCGGAUUUAUUGGGCGUAAAGCGAGCGCAGGCGGAAGAAUAAGUCUGAUGUGAAAGCCCUCGGCUUAACCGAGGAAAUGCAUCGGAAACUGUUUUUCUUGAGUGCAGAAGAGGAGAGUGGAAUUCCAUGUGUAGCGGUGGAAUGCGUAGAUAUAUGGAAGAACACCAGUGGCGAAGGCGACUCUCUGGUCUGCAACUGACGCUGAGGCUCGAAAGCAUGGGUAGCGAACAGG